rnacentral:rRNA from 1 species
UACGUAGGGUGCGAGCGUUGUCCGGAAUUAUUGGGCGUAAAGAGCUCGUAGGCGGUCUGUCGCGUCGAAUGUGAAAACCCGGGGCUCAACUCCGGGCUUGCAUUCGAUACGGGCAGGCUGGAGUUCGGUAGGGGAGUCUGGAAUUCCUGGUGUAGCGGUGAAAUGCGCAGAUAUCAGGAGGAACACCGGUGGCGAAGGCGGGACUCUGGGCCGAUACUGACGCUGAGGAGCGAAAGCGUGGGGAGCGAACAGG